rnacentral:rRNA from 1 species
UACGAGGGGGGCAAGCGUUGUUCGGAAUUACUGGGCGUAAAGGGUGCGUAGGCGAUCGACUACUUUUGGCGGAAAAGACACCGUUGAACGGUGUCUUCAGCUUUGGGGGACGUUGAUUAGAAAUGUAGCGGGUUAGCGGAAUUACUAAUGUAGAGGUGGAAUCCAACGAUAUUAGUAGGAAUACCAAUGGCGAAGGCAGCUUUCUAGACCAUUUGACGCUGAGGCACGAAAGCAUGGGGAGCAAACGGG